UAACAACGGGACUCACUGCUCGAAGAUGUGACGUUCGGCUCAGCUGCACUUGGAGGUUAUGAUGCAUCACUCGAUUUUUACGGAUGAUUCAAAGCCAGAAGUCAAACGCUGCACAACUUGCUGCACACUUUUCCACUGCCCCCUAUGCCCAACUUUCAAACCAACCAUCAACACGAAGCUUCAGUGCCACCUGGAAUCCCACAUAAAACAUUCCAUUACAUUUAAAGACAAAAAGAUAUGCAGGUGCAACCUCAGCUGCAGGGAUGGGGGACAUUAUCAUUGCCCCCUUUGUGGCAAAACGAUCAUCAGGAAGUCGGUUAUGGAUCUACACCUGAAGUCCUGCACAAACACGCAAGACAGUCCCUCCACCUCCGCUGCCGUCCAUACAUCCAAUCAAAACCCCAUCACAGUCAAGACAGCCACCACCUCUCCAGCUCCGACUGCUCCUUCUCCCCAAGCUUCAACUGUUGUGUCUUCCUCUGCCGUCUCUGCUGCCCAGAGUAAAAGUA